rnacentral:rRNA from 1 species
GUAGAACGCUGAAGCUUGGUGCUUGCACCGAGCGGAUGAGUUGCGAACGGGUGAGUAACGCGUAGGUAACCUGCCUCUUAGCGGGGGAUAACUAUUGGAAACGAUAGCUAAUACCGCAUAAAAGUCGAUAUCGCAUGAUAUUGAUUUGAAAGGUGCAAUUGCAUCACUAAGAGAUGGACCUGCGUUGUAUUAGCUAGUUGGUGAGGUAACGGCUCACCAAGGCGACGAUACAUAGCCGACCUGAGAGGGUGAUCGGCCACACUGGGACUGAGACACGGCCCAGACUCCUACGGGAGGCAGCAGUAGGGAAUCUUCGGCAAUGGGGGCAACCCUGACCGAGCAACGCCGCGUGAGUGAAGAAGGUUUUCGGAUCGUAAAGCUCUGUUGUAAGAGAAGAACGAGUGUGAGAGUGGAAAGUUCACACUGUGACGGUAACUUACCAGAAAGGGACGGCUAACUACGUGCCAGCAGCCGCGGUAAUACGUAGGUCCCGAGCGUUAUCCGGAUUUAUUGGGCGUAAAGCGAGCGCAGGCGGUUAGAUAAGUCUGAAGUUAAAGGCUGUGGCUUAACCAUAGUACGCUUUGGAAACUGUUUAACUUGAGUGCAGAAGGGGAGAGUGGAAUUCCAUGUGUAGCGGUGAAAUGCGUAG